rnacentral:lncRNA from 1 species
UUUUUUUCAAUUUAUUAUUUUAUUUAUGAAACCCUAAAAACUAUAAUACUUUCUUCACUCACUGUGUAUACCAAAAAAGUAAUCUCUGCUAUCUCAAAUCACUCUCACNCUACUUGCUCUUAUUUGACGGUGCUCUCACCCUCACUUCACUGAAAUUCUUCAAGGAGCAGGUAAAACACCCUUCCUUUUUUCUUCUCUUUUCUCCACAUUUUUGUUUUCUCACUUCUCUUUCUUUUGUUUUUUUCAAAAACCCUAUAAUGACAAAAAUAGGGGUUUGCGAAUUUGUUUUUUGUUUUGGGGGAUUUGAAGACAUGAAAUGACUUUUUCAUGUUCUGACAUGCAUGUAUCAGAUUUUGUUCAUUUUAUUUAAACAAUUUGAAUAUACAUUAUUUGAACAAGCUCUUUUUGAUAUCUUUGAACUUGGGAAAUUAUUUUACAAAUUAAACUAUUAAUUUUUUGUUGAUGUUGUUGAGUACUGGUUCUCUUUUUUUUUUUUUACUAAUAUUUUUUU